rnacentral:rRNA from 1 species
GACGAACGCUGGCGGCGUGCUUAACACAUGCAAGUCGAACGGAAAGGCCCUGCUGUUGUGGGGUGCUCGGGUGGCGAACGGGUGAGUAACACGUGAGUAACCUGCUCUUUACUUUGGGAUAACUUCAGGAAACGGGGGCUAAUACCGGAUAGCAUCUCCUGCUGCAUGGUGGGGGUUGGAUAGUUUCGGCGGUUGGGGAUGGACUCGCGGCUUAUCAGCUUGUUGGUGGGGUAGUGGCUUACCAAGGCUUUGACGGGUAGCCGGCCUGGGAGGGUGACCGGCCACAUUGGGACUGAGAUACGGCCCAGACUCCUACGGGAGGCAGCAGUGGGGAAUAUUGCACAAUGGGCGGAAGCCUGAUGCAGCAACGCCGCGUGCGGGAUGACGGCCUUCGGGUUGUAAACCGCUUUCGCCUGUGACGAAGCGGGAGUGACGGUAAUGGGUAAAGAAGCACCGGCUAACUACGUG